GACGAACGCUGGCGGCGUGCUUAACACAUGCAAGUCAUGGGAGAAAGGGGUAGCAAUAUCCCGAGUACACCGGCGCAAGGGUGAGUAACGCGUAGGCAAUCUACCUCAAGGAUGGGAACAACCCCGAGAAAUCGAGGCUAAUACCCAAUAUUGUCCCGACACGACAUCGUAUCGGGAUGAAAUGCCGCAAGGCGCCUUAAGAUGAGCCUGCGUCCCAUUAGGUAGUUGGCGGGGUAACGGCCCACCAAGCCUUCGAUGGGUAGCUGGUCUGAGAGGACGAUCAGCCACACUGGAACUGAGACACGGUCCAGACUCCUACGGGUGGCAG
rnacentral:rRNA from 1 species